rnacentral:rRNA from 1 species
GACGAACGCUGGCGGCAGGCCUAACACAUGCAAGUCGAGCGAGCGGCGGACGGGUGAGUAAUGUCUGGGAAUCUGCCCGAUGGAGGGGGAUAACUACUGGAAACGGUGGCUAAUACCGCAUACUAUCGGAUGAACCCAUAUGGGAUUAGCUAGUAGGUGGGGUAAAGGCUCACCUAGGCGACGAUCCCUAGCUGGUCUGAGAGGAUGAUCAGCAAAACUGGUAAUGAGACACGGCCCAGACUCCUACGGGAGGCAGCAGUGGGGAAUAUUGCACAAUGGGCGCAAGCCUGAUGCAGCCAUGCCGCGUGUAUGAAGAAGGCCUUAGGGUUGUAAAGCACUUUCAGCGAGGAGGCGUUACUCGCAGAAGAAGCACCGGCUAACUCCGUGCCAGCAGCCGCGGUAAUAC